UUCGUAGAGCCAACGUACUUU
ensembl:piRNA 21ur-7252 ncRNA